UACGUAGGGGGCGAGCGUUGUCCGGAAUCAUUGGGCGUAAAGCGCGCGUAGGCGGUUUCCAGAGUCUGGCGUGAAAGCCCCUGGCUCAACUGGGGGAGGUCGUUGGAGACCUGGAGGCUAGAGGCCGGUAGGGGAGUGUGGAAUUCCGGGUGUAGUGGUGGAAUGCGUAGAGAUCCGGAGGAACACCGGUGGCGAAGGCGGCACUCUGGGCCGGGCCUGACGCUGAGGCGCGAAGGCGUGGGGAGCGAUCCGGAUUAGAUACCCCAGUAGUCC
rnacentral:rRNA from 1 species